rnacentral:rRNA from 1 species
AUGAACGCUGGCGGCGUGCCUCAUACAUGCAAGUCGCGCGAACAGACGAGGAGCUUGCUCCUCUGACGUUAGCGGCGGACGGGUGAGUAACACGUGGAUAACCUACCUAUAAGACUGGGAUAACUUCGGGAAACCGGAGCUAAUACCGGAUAAUAUAUUGAACCGCAUGGUUCAAUAGUUAAAGACGGUUUUGCUGUCACUUAUAGAUGGAUCCGCGCCGCAUUAGCUAGUUGGUAAGGUAACGGCUUACCAAGGCAACGAUGCGUAGCCGACCUGAGAGGGUGAUCGGCCACACUGGAACUGAGACACGGUCCAGACUCCUACGGGAGGCAGCAGUAGGGAAUCUUCCGCAAUGGGCGAAAGCCUGACGGAGCAACGCCGCGUGAGUGAUGAAGGUCUUCGGAUCGUAAAACUCUGUUAUUAGGGAAGAACAAAUGUGUAAGUAACUAUGCACGUCUUGACGGUACCUAAUCAGAAAGCCACGGCUAACUACGUG